GACGAACGCUGGCGGCGUGCCUAAUACAUGCAAGUAGAACGCACAGUUUAUACCGUAGCUUGCUACACCAUAGACUGUGAGUUGCGAACGGGUGAGUAACGCGUAGGUAACCUGCCUGGUAGCGGGGGAUAACUAUUGGAAACGAUAGUUAAUACCGCAUAAUAUUAAUUAUUGCAUGAUAAUUAAUUGAAAGGUGCAAUUGCACCACUACCAGAUGGACCUGCGUUGUAUUAGCUAGUAGGUGAGGUAACGGCUCACCUAGGCGACGAUACAUAGCCGACCUGAGAGGGUGAUCGGCCACACUGGGACUGAGACACGGCCCAGACUCCUACGGGAGGCAGCAGUAGGGAAUCUUCGGCAAUGGACGAAAGUCUGACCGAGCAACGCCGCGUGAGUGAAGAAGGUUUUCGGAUCGUAAAGCUCUGUUGUAAGAGAAGAACGGGUGUGAGAGUGGAAAGUUCACACUGUGACGGUAUCUUACCAGAAAGGGACGGCUAACUACGUG
rnacentral:rRNA from 1 species